GCUACAUGUUUUACUUUAAAUCGUUUACCUUGAAAUAAGUUAUACUGUAAAUGAACUCAAAAUGAUAAAAAAAGAAGAAAAAAAAUCUCUAUAAAAGUGCAAAAUGUUAAUAAUAAUGAUAAUUUAAAACGGACGCCUUACCCUUAAUAAUAAAUCAUGUCUGUAAAUUAUAGGAACUAACACAAAUGAAUAUAUUACAGCAAAUUCUAAUUUUUUGAGAAUUAAUUUACAGAAAAAAUAAUUCAGUUACUUAGGUGUUUAAAUGACCUUGAAAUUUAAUCCCAGUAUUAUUAGACUGACAGUUAAGCUGUUUUACAUGACAAGACUGUCUUGUUUACUCACAAAACAUAAUUAUAAUCCUACGAAUAUUUGAAUGUACUACUGACCUAGUAGACAGGGCAUGUACGCAACUGAUAACAAAAAGGAAGUUUCAUAACCAUAAAUUGUUUAAACAUCACAUGAAUUCUACAUGUAAGGCAACUUAUAAGAUUUGAUUUCAAAAAGAUGCCUAAAGCAACGAUGGGGUGGGACUUUAGAAAAAAAAGAUGGACGAAACGUUAAGGAUGAAAACCUUUGAAUAUUCGUGUACUUCAUAAAUUAAAUUAAAUAUUGAACAGCAUAAAGUCAUGAGUUCACAUUUACAGCUAUCAAAUGGCUUACUAUAAUAGAUAUGAUGAACAAUGGAAUGUCCAAUGGAUUGUCACAAUUGUUGUUGUACUAGUUGUCUUUUUUGUAUGGAAAAAAAGACAUUUAAAGAAGAAAAAUAUUGAGAAGAAAGAAUUGAACACGAAAGAAAGUCAGACAGACAAAUGCGCACUUUUGUCUUCGGAAACACAAACAGACAAAUGCGCACUUGUGUCUACGAAAACACAAACAGCAAAAAGUAAAUGGUUCACAGAAAGGUUAACAGAAUUUGAUACACGCGAUUUAGGAUCAGACGAAGCAUUCGACUUUGCCUGUGAAAUAUGUGAUAUUGGAAAAAGGCCGUUGGAUUCUGUCUUUGGUGUGAACAAUAUUUAUGCCUGAAAUGUUGCAAACAUCAUGAAAAGAUACGAUUUAGCGAAAACCAUGUGCUGAAAGGGAAAGAGGAUUAUUUAUGUUCUAAGAAGCAAGUAUCAAUGUACGGGAGAAAACUUGUCCCAGUGUCUGCGAAAUAUAUAAGAAAUUUAGUUACAAUACUGAUUGAUGAAAAGACGGAAAGUUUUGUUCCUAUUGCGCAAAUGGGCGGGUAUCUCUGCACCAUAUCUAUGUUCGACACAUGUCGAACGGCUUGCCCUAUAUCAUCUGUCGGCUCUUGCGCACACAAGUAUGAAGAUCCUGAAAUAUUGUUCUUCAUAGACAGCAACAGAUGCAUUAUGCGAUUUUGCACAGAGCAUAAAAUAGCAAUCAACUGUUUUGUCACACUAAGUAAUUGCACAAGUAUUACUAAAUUUAAUCUGGCCUUGCAGUUGCUCAAUAUAUAUCAACGCGCUACUCUGUACCAAGCUGGAGUAUUCAGUUUCUCGAUUUUACAGGAAAUAUUAACAAUUAUGUGGUUUACGAUGCAGAAGGGCGGCAUUUGUUUAACAAUAUUUACAGUCUAACUGCCGACAAUACUGGGAAUUUCCUUUAUGUGUGUGACCAGACGAGUUGCAUGGUUACCGUUUUUGGCACAAAUGGUAAACUUAUUAGGAAAAUAGCAUUCAAUUUAGACGUAUACCCACGAGAACUGGACUUUGACAGUGAAGGUAACAUUUAUUUGGCAUGUGCUUAUCAAGUUAUCCAGGUCGAUGCGCUGUGUAAAACAUUCAGAGUGCUGUUCACAUUAAAUGAAGAUCAGGAAAAUCCAGAAGGCAACGAAAUAACACAUGUCCGCUUCAACAAAUCGACAAACAAGAUGAUCAUUGUGGAAAACGCAACAACAGUCACGGCAUUCUCCUUUCUUCCUGAAUACUGUCGCAAAUCUAGUAUUCACAAGUUUCCAUCUGCAAAAUAAUAUUUAAGCUCAAGUGUUAUAUUCCAUAAAGCUUCGCGGACGCAUAGAGUCGAUUCUUGACUUACAUGUUGCCAGGGGUAAAACGCAACGAAAUGCUAUUCGGAUUUUACCUUACUUUGCUUAACUUACUUUUUGCUUGUGUCAUUAUACAACCGUGUGUUGUGGUCACUUGUGUUAGAGUUAAGCUUCUUUGGGAAUUAUAAUACCUACACUGUCUCGUUUUGGGUCGUAUGAGAUAGGCGGACCGCAAACGCGCUUAGAUCCAUCUGUUUAUUUCUGUACACCUGUUUUUAGGCUGGCGAUAUUCGCCAGACUAUUAUAAUCAUAUAUCGAGUUCCCAUAAAGUUCAACAGGUGCUGAGACUGACAACACAAAAUAUAAUUUCAUGCGCAAUUCAAAUAGUCCGCCACGUUUAUCAGUUUUGCCAUAGAGUUGUAUAAAGAUUGUUAAACUUACCUGUUUCAAUAGAUCUAUUUGUCAAACA